UGGGGAAUAUUGCACAAUGGGCGGAAGCCUGAUGCAGCGACGCCGCGUGGGGGAUGAAGGCCUUCGGGUUGUAAACUCCUUUCGACAGGGACGAAGCUUUUGUGACGGUACCUGUAUAAGAAGCACCGGCUAACUACGUGCCAGCAGCCGCGGUAAUACGUAGGGUGCGAGCGUUGUCCGGAAUUACUGGGCGUAAAGAGCUCGUAGGUGGUUUGUCGCGUCGUCCGUGAAAUUCCGGGGCUUAACUCCGGGCGUGCAGGCGAUACGGGCUGACUUGAGUGCUGUAGGGGAGACUGGAAUUCCUGGUGUAGCGGUGAAAUGCGCAGAUAUCAGGAGGAACACCGAUGGCGAAGGCAGGUCUCUGGGCAGUAACUGACGCUGAGGAGCGAAAGCAUGGGUAGCGAACAGG
rnacentral:rRNA from 1 species